GACGAACGCUGGCGGCGUGCCUAAUACAUGCAAGUAGAACGCUGAAGGAGGAGCUUGCUCUUCUGGAUGAGUUGCGAACGGGUGAGUAACGCGUAGGUAACCUGCCUGGUAGCGGGGGAUAACUAUUGGAAACGAUAGCUAAUACCGCAUAAUAGUAGAUGUUGCAUGAUAUUUACUUAAAAGGUGCAAUUGCACCACUACCAGAUGGACCUGCGUUGUAUUAGCUAGUUGGUGGGGUAACGGCUCACCAAGGCGACGAUACAUAGCCGACCUGAGAGGGUGAUCGGCCACAAUGGGACUGAGACACGGCCCAGACUCCUACGGGAGGCAGCAGUAGGGAAUCUUCGGCAAUGGACGAAAGUCUGACCGAGCAACGCCGCGUGAGUGAAGAAGGUUUUCGGAUCGUAAAGCUCUGUUGUAAGAGAAGAACGAGUGUGAGAGUGGAAAGUUCACACUGUGACGGUAUCUUACCAGAAAGGAACGGCUAACUACGU
rnacentral:rRNA from 1 species